CUGAGUACGGCGGAACACGUGAAAUUCCGUCGGAAUCCGGGAGGACCAUCUCCCAAGGCUAAAUACUCCCUAGUGACCGAUAGUGAACCAGUACCGUGAGGGAAAGGUGAAAAGCACCCCGGAAGGGGAGUGAAACAGUUCCUGAAACCGUGUGCCUACAAGUAGUUAGAGCCCGUUAAUGGGUGAUAGCGUGCCUUUUGUAGAAUGAACCGGCGAGUUACGAUUUGUUGCAAGGUUAAGCGGAAAAAGCGGAGCCGUAGCGAAAGCGAGUCUGAAUAGGGCGCAUAAGUAACAGGUCGUAGACCCGAAACCAGGUGAUCUACCCAUGUCCAGGAUGAAGGUAAGGUAAUACUUACUGGAGGUCCGAACCCACGCACGUUGAAAAGUGCGGGGAUGAGGUGUGGGUAGCGGAGAAAUUCCAAUCGAACUUGGAGAUAGCUGGUUCUCUCCGAAAUAGCUUUAGGGCUAGCCUCGAGGUAAAGAGUCAUGGAGGUAGAGCACUGUUUGGACUAGGGGCCCUUCUCGGGUUACCGAAUUCAGAUAAACUCCGAAUGCCAUGUACUUAUACUCGGGAGUCAGACUGCGAGUGAUAAGAUCCGUAGUCGAAAGGGAAACAGCCCAGACCACCAGUUAAGGUCCCCAAAUAUAUGUUAAGUGGAAAAGGAUGUGGGGUUGCUUAGACAACCAGGAUGUUGGCUUAGAAGCAGCCACCAUUGAAAGAGUGCGUAAUAGCUCACUGGUCGAGUGACCCCGCGCCGAAAAUGUACCGGGGCUAAACAUAUUACCGAAACUGUGGAUGAACCUCUUUAGAGGUUCGUGGUAGGAGAGCGUUCUAAGGGCGGUGAAGUCAGACCGGAAGGACUGGUGGAGCGCUUAGAAGUGAGAAUGCCGGUAUGAGUAGCGAAAGAAGGGUGAGAAUCCCUUCCACCGAAUAUCUAAGGUUUCCUGAGGAAGGCUCGUCCGCUCAGGGUUAGUCGGGACCUAAGCCGAGGCCGAUAGGCGUAGGCGAUGGACAACAGGUAGAGAUUCCUGUACCAGUGCUAAUUGUUUAACCGAUGGGGUGACACAGAAGGAUAGGGAAUCGCACGAAUGGAAAUGUGCGUCCAAGCAGUGAGUGUGAGAAGUAGGCAAAUCCGCUUCUCGCGAAGCAUGAGCUGUGAUGGGGAAGGAAAUUAAGUACGGAAGUUCCUGAUUUCACGCUGUCAAGAAAAGCCUCUAGGAAGAGUAGUACUGCCCGUACCGCAAACCGACACAGGUAGAUGAGGAGAGAAUCCUAAGGUGAGCGAGAGAACUCUCGUUAAGGAACUCGGCAAAAUGACCCCGUAACUUCGGGAGAAGGGGUGCUCUAUUAGGGUGCAAGCCCGAGAGAGCCGCAGUGAAUAGGCCCAGGCGACUGUUUAGCAAAAACACAGGUCUCUGCAAAACCGUAAGGUGACGUAUAGGGGCUGACGCCUGCCCGGUGCUGGAAGGUUAAGAGGAGUGCUUAGCUUCGGCGAAGGUACGAAUUGAAGCCCCAGUAAACGGCGGCCGUAACUAUAACGGUCCUAAGGUAGCGAAAUUCCUUGUCGGGUAAGUUCCGACCCGCACGAAAGGCGCAACGAUCUGGGCACUGUCUCAACGAGAGACUCGGUGAAAUUAUAGUACCUGUGAAGAUGCAGGUUACCCGCGACAGGACGGAAAGACCCCGUGGAGCUUUACUGCAACCUGAUAUGGAAUGUUUGUACCGCUUGUACAGGAUAGGUAGGAGCCGAAGAGACGUGUGCGCUAGCAUACGAGGAGGCAAUGGUGGGAUACUACCCUGGCUGUAUGACCAUUCUAACCCGCCACGCUUAGCGCGUGGGGAGACAGUGUCAGGUGGGCAGUUUGACUGGGGCGGUCGCCUCCUAAAGAGUAACGGAGGCGCCCAAAGGUUCCCUCAGAAUGGAUGGAAAUCAUUCGCAGAGUGUAAAGGCACAAGGGAGCUUGACUGCGAGACUGACAAGUCGAGCAGGGACGAAAGUCGGGCUUAGUGAUCCGGUGGUUCCGCAUGGAAGGGCCAUCGCUCAACGGAUAAAAGCUACCCCGGGGAUAACAGGCUUAUCUCCCCCAAGAGUCCACAUCGACGGGGAGGUUUGGCACCUCGAUGUCGGCUCGUCGCAUCCUGGGGCUGUAGUCGGUCCCAAGGGUUGGGCUGUUCGCCCAUUAAAGCGGCACGCGAGCUGGGUUCAGAACGUCGUGAGACAGUUCGGUCCCUAUCCGUCGCGGGCGCAGGAAAUUUGAGAGGAGCUGUCCUUAGUACGAGAGGACCGGGAUGGACACACCGCUGGUGUACCAGUUGUU
rnacentral:rRNA from 1 species